UUAAAGCAGAGGUAGGCAAACUUUUUCCUGCUAAGGCCAUUUGGAUAUUUAUAAUACCACUGAUUUAAUAUAAUUCACUUAAUAUAACUUUAUGUUGCUAUGAAAAAAGCUUCUAGAUUUAUUGAAUUUCGAGUCCUGCCUGUGGUUGCCUUGGCUGGGCCAGACCAAAUGAUUUCUUGGGCCUUAUAUGCGGGCGAAUGUGCCCCACCCCUGCUUUAGAGCAACUAACUCAGACCCAUCGACACCUUUUCAGUUGGGGCAUAAAUGUCUUCGGGUGAUUUCAGCAGACCAGAGGUUAAGCUUUCCCGGGUCUUGGACAACUGAGAAUUCCAUGAAGUAUAUGGGGAAGUUUUCAUUCUCUAUGAGCAGGCAUAAGCUUUGGGCAUUCUGUGUAUUUUUAGGGGGACCAUGAACCACCUGAGGCCCAUCAUUGUUGAGAACCCCCACUCUGGCCUUUCAUUUGGACUCUGCAGGGGCAGAAAGCCCAUGGGCGAGACCUGAGUCUAAGCAGUUUGUCACGUGUUUUGAGCAGAUGGCUCCUGAAUGCAGAACACCAUGGAGAAGAGCGAUGAGAGCAGGAGCCGGGGGACAGCUCAUGGCCUUGACGUUAGAUCUGCUGAGAAGCCGUCUCUCAGGUUUGAGAUUUAUAUGUACAUUGAAGAAAAGGAGGAAGUGGCCUCAUGCCCAUAAACAAACAUUCAAGCAUCUUUGCCCCAAAAUGAGGACAUUUAGCACGACGCUAUUAAAAACAGGUCUGUCUACCUGGAUAUCUGUUUACACCCUUUCAAGUAUUCUCACCUGAGACAAGACCAAACCAGAAGAACUACAUUAGUAAAAUGAUUCAUGGGCCACAAUUCAAGGGACAGCCUGGAAUAUAAAAAACCCUUCAAAAGUUAUUGCAGGAUGACGUGAUUGACUCCAGCAGGAUUCCAAAUCGGAAGAAACAGAUUAUAUGGCAUGGAGGGCAAACCACGGAUAAUCAAGGUAUCUGUGUUAUGGCUGUGCCCCUAACCCAGGGGUGGGCAAACUUUUUGACUCGAGGGCCACAAUGGGUUCUUAAACUGGACAGGCGGGCCGGAACAAAAGCAUGGAUGGAGUGUUUGUGUGAACUAAUAUAAAUUCAAAGUAAACAUCAUUACAUAAAAGGGUACGGUCUUUUUUUUUUUUUUUUUUUUUUUUUU